UUUCUCAGCCGCCAACCAACCUCACCAUUCACGAGAGGAUUUUCAUUGAAAUUACUGUUGAUCUUGAAGCAUCAAGAACUAGAGAGUUAAUUACUUCAGGGAUUGAUGGAUGAUUGUCACAAAUGGUGGUUCAACAUUGAAUGAUUUUCAAGAACAUUUUGUCUUUUGAUCUAUCUUGCCA